rnacentral:rRNA from 1 species
UCUGGUUGAUCCUGCCAGAGGUCACUGCUAUCGGGGUUCGAUUAAGCCAUGCGAGUCGAGAGGGUUCGGCCCUCGGCGUACUGCUCAGUAACACGUGGAUAACCUGCCCUAGGGAAGGGGAUAAUCCCGGGAAACUGGGGAUAAUACCCUAUAGGUUACAGAUGCUGGAAUGCUCUGUAAUCAAAAGUUCCGGCGCCCUAGGAUGGAUCUGCGGCCGAUUAGGUUGUUGUUGGGGUAAUGGCCCAACAAGCCAGUAAUCGGUACGGGUUGUGGGAGCAAGAGCCCGGAGUUGGAUUCUGAGACACGAAUCCAGGCCCUACGGGGCGCAGCAGGCGCGAAAACUUUACAAUGCGGGCAACCGUGAUAAGGGAACCUCGAGUGCCUGUAAAUGCAGGCUGUUCAGAUGCCUAAAACACAUCUGGAGAAAGGGCCGGGCAAGACCGGUGCCAGCCGCCGCGGUAAUACCGGCGGCUCGAGUGGUGGCCACUUUUAUUGGGCUUAAAGCGUUCGUAGCUGGGUUGUUAAGUCUCUUGGGAAAUCUGGCGGCUUAACCGUCAGGCGUCUAAGGGAUACUGGCAAUCUUGGAACCGGGAGAGGUGAGGGGUACUUCGGGGGUAGGAGUGAAAUCCUGUAAUCCUCGAGGGACCACCUGUGGCGAAGGCGCCUCACCAGAACGGCUUCGACAGUGAGGGACGAAAGCUGGGGGAGCAAACCGGAUUAGAUACCCGGGUAGUCCCAGCCGUAAACUAUGCGCGUUAGGUGUAUCGGUGACCACGAGUUACCGAGGUGCCGAAGGGAAACCGUGAAACGUGCCGCCUGGGAAGUACGGUCGCAAGGCUGAAACUUAAAGGAAUUGGCGGGGGAGCACCACAACAGGUGGAGCCUGCGGUUUAAUUGGACUCAACGCCGGGAAGCUCACCGGAUAGGACAGCAGAAUGGUUGCCGGGCUGAAGACCCUGCAUGACUAGCUGAGAGGAGGUGCAUGGCCGUCGUCAGUUCGUACUGUGAAGCAUCCUGUUAAGUCAGGCAACGAGCGAGACCC